GACGAACGCUGGCGGCGUGCUUAACACAUGCAAGUCGAACGAGACGAUUGAAAGCUUGCUUUCGAAAGUCGAGUGGCAAACGGGUGAGUAACGCGUAGACAACCUGCCUUUGAGAUGGGGACAACAGUUCGAAAGGACUGCUAAUACCGAAUGUUGUAUAUUUUCCACAUGGAAGAUAUAUUAAAGAUGGCCUCUAUUUAUAAGCUAUCGCUCAAAGAUGGGUCUGCGUCUGAUUAGCUGGUUGGUGGGGUAACGGCCUACCAAGGCGACGAGCAGUAGCCGGUCUGAGAGGAUGAACGGCCACAUUGGGACUGAGACACGGCCCAGACUCCUACGGGAGGUAGCAGUGGGGAAUCUUCCACAAUGGACGAAAGUCUGAUGGAGCAACGCCGCGUGAGUGAAGAAGGGUUUCGGCUCGUAAAGCUCUGUUGUCGGGGACGAAUGUGCAGUAUUUGAAUAAAGUACUGCAAUGACGGUACCUGACGAGGAAGCCACGGCUAACUACGUGCCAGCCGCCGCCGUAA
rnacentral:rRNA from 1 species